rnacentral:ncRNA from 1 species
GGCACUCAAUCUUCAGAUGGUUCUCGAUGGUGCGCCCAAGGGAUGAAAAGGGAAUACGGUGCGGUUCGCCAAUUGGCGCCAAAUCCGUGACUGCCCCCGCAACUGUAAGCGGCAAGCGACGCCAAACAGCCACUGGCCCCAGUGCCGGGAAGGAUGGCCAAGCGACGACCCGCAAGUCAGGAGACCUGCCAUCAUUUGUUUAACCAA